UACAGAGGCCCCAAGCGUUACUGAGAAUCACUGGGUUUAAAGGGUGCGUAGGUGGUCCGUUAAGUCUAUUGUGAAAUCCCCGGGCUCAACCCGGGAACUGCUUUAGAUACUGGCGGACUUGAGGUCGGUAGGGGUCACUGGAACAGACGGUGGAGCGGUGAAAUGCGUAGAUAUCGUCUGGAACGCCGGUGGUGAAGACGGGUGACUUGGCCGAUUCUGACACUGAGGCACGAAAGCGUGGGGAGCGAACGGG
rnacentral:rRNA from 1 species